UGAAGAUGCCGGAUACCUGCGACAGGACGGAAAGACCCCAUGGAGCUUUACUGUAGCUUGACAUUGGGUCUUGGUACUACAUGUACAGGAUAGGGGGGAGGCUUUGAAACCAGGACGCCAGUUUUGGCGGAGCCAUCCUUGGGAUACCACCCUUGUAGUACUGGGACUCUAACCAUAGGCCAUGAAUCUGGUCUUGGGACACUGUCAGG
rnacentral:rRNA from 1 species